rnacentral:rRNA from 1 species
AAUAUUGCGCAAUGGGCGAAAGCCUGACGCAGCGACGCCGCGUGGGGGAUGAAGGUCUUCGGAUUGUAAACCCCUUUCGGGAGGGAAGAUGGAGCGAGCAAUCGUUCGGACGGUACCUCCAGAAGCAGCCACGGCCAACUUCGUGCCAGCAGCCGCGGUAAUACGAAGGUGGCAAGCGUUGUUCGGAUUCACUGGGCGUACAGGGUGUGUAGGCGGUUCGGUAAGCCUUCUGUUAAAGCUUCGGGCCCAACCCGGAAAGCG